CAAGACAAUCCAGUAAUGCUAAGUGUCUGAAUCCUUGAUCCGAUCCCUUCGGGGUGACGGUCUUGGCCUAGCACACGACCCUACGCUGGGGCGUUUAGCGUAUUAACAGGUGUGACGCAGGAAGGUAGCUGAGCCGGGCGAUGGUUGUCCCGGUCUAAGGAUGUAGGGCAGAAGAUAGGCAAAUCCGUCUUCUAUGUAGCCUGAGACCCGAUGGGUAGUCCUCACGGACGAAAUCAGUGAUCCUAUGCUGCCGAGAAAAGCAUCGACGCGAGGUUCCAAUCGCCCGUACCCCAAACCGACUCAGGUGGUCAGGUAGAGAAUACUAAGGAGAUCGAGAGAAUCGUGGUUAAGGAACUCGGCAAAAUGCCCCCGUAACUUCGGGAGAAGGGGGGCCUGAGGCGUGUAGGGAUUUACUCCUGAAGCGUUUGAAGGCCGCAGAGACCAGUGGGAAGCGACUGUUUACUAAAAACACAGGUCCGUGCUAAGUCGCAAGACGAUGUAUACGGACUGACGCCUGCCCGGUGCUGGAAGGUUAAGAGGAACGGUUAGCACGCAAGUGCGAAGCUGAGAAUUUAAGCCCCAGUAAACGGCGGUGGUAACUAUAACCAUCCUAAGGUAGCGAAAUUCCUUGUCGGGUAAGUUCCGACCUGCACGAAUGGCGUAACGACUUCCCAGCUGUCUCAACCGCGAACUCGGCGAAAUUGCACUACGAGUAAAGAUGCUCGUUACGCGCAGCAGGACGGAAAGACCCCGUGACCUUUACUACAGCUUGGUAUUGGUGUUCGGUGUGGCUUGUGUAGGAUAGGUGGGAGACUGUGAAGCUCGGACGCUAGUUCGGGUGGAGUCAUUGUUGAAAUACCACUCUGGUCACUCUGGAUAUCUAACUUCGAACCGUAAUCCGGUUCAGGGACAGUGCCUGGUGGGUAGUUUAACUGGGGCGGUUGCCUCCUAAAGAGUAACGGAGGCGCCCAAAGGUUCCCUCAACCUGGUUGGUAAUCAGGUGUCGAGUGUAAGUGCACAAGGGAGCUUGACUGUGAGACUGACAAGUCGAGCAGGGACGAAAGUCGGGACUAGUGAUCCGGCAGUGGCUUGUGGAAGCGCUGUCGCUCAACGGAUAAAAGGUACCUCGGGGAUAACAGGCUGAUCUUGCCCAAGAGUCCAUAUCGACGGCAUGGUUUGGCACCUCGAUGUCGGCUCGUCGCAUCCUGGGGCUGGAGUAGGUCCCAAGGGUUGGGCUGUUCGCCCAUUAAAGCGGUACGCGAGCUGGGUUUAGAACGUCGUGAGACAGUUCGGUCCCUAUCCGCUGCGCGCGUAGGAAAUUUGAGAAGAUCUAUCCCUAGUACGAGAGGACCGGGAUGGACGAACCUCUGGUGUGUCAGUUGUUCCGCCAGGAGCACCGCUGAUUAGCUACGUUCGGAACGGAUAACCGCUGAAAGCAUCUAAGCGGGAAGCCGGCUUCGAGAUGAGAUUUCCAUCCCUUUUAGGGUGAAGGCUCCCGGCUAGACUACCGGGUUGAUAGGCAGGAUGUGGAAGCGAGGACUAAAGACUCGUGGAGCUGACCUGUACUAAUA
rnacentral:rRNA from 1 species